rnacentral:rRNA from 1 species
UACGUAGGGGGCCAGCGUUGUCCGGAAUCAUUGGGCGUAAAGCGCGCGUAGGCGGCCAGGUAAGUCCGGUGUGAAAGUCAAAGGCUCAACCUUUGAAUGCCGCUGGAAACUGUCUGGCUCGAGUCCGGGAGGGGCGAGUGGAAUUCCUGGUGUAGCGGUGAAAUGCGUAGAUAUUGGGAAGAACACCUGAGGCGAAGGCGGCCUUCUGGACGGUGACUGACGCUGAGACGCGAAAGCGUGGGGAGCAAACAGG